rnacentral:rRNA from 1 species
UACGAAGGGGGCUAGCGUUGUUCGGAAUCACUGGGCGUAAAGCGCGCGUAGGCGGGUCGUUAAGUCGGGGGUGAAAUCCUGGAGCUCAACUCCAGAACUGCCUUCGAUACUGGAAGACUUGAGUCCGGGAGAGGUGAGUGGAACUGCGAGUGUAGAGGUGAAAUUCGUAGAUAUUCGCAAGAACACCAGUGGCGAAGGCGUCUCACUGGCCCGGUACUGACGCUGAGGUGCGAAAGCGUGGGGACCAAACAGG